GUGAGGUAAUGGCUCACCAAGGCUAAGACGGGUAGCUGGUGUGAGAGCACGGUCAGCCACCGCGGAACUGAGACACGGUCCGCACUCCUACGGGAGGCAGCAAUUAGGAAUCUUGCGCAAUGGGGGCAACCCUGACGCAGCGACACAGCGUGGAGGAUGAAGGUCUUCGGAUUGUAAACUCCUUUUAUAUGGGAAGAAUAAAUGACUGUACCAUAUGAAUAAGUACCUGCUAACUACGUGCCAGAAGCAUCGGUGAUGCGUAGGGUACGAACGUUAUCCGGAUUUACUGGGCGUAUAGAGAUGCGUAGGCGGUUUGAUAAGUCUUGAGUUAAAGACCUCGGCUCAACCGAGGGAGAGCUUUCGAAACUAUCAGACUUGAGACAUGGAGGGGUGAACGGAAUUCCGAGUGGAGUGGUGAAAUACGUUGAUAUUCGGAGGAACAUCAGUGGCGAAGGCGGUUCACUGGCCAUUGUCUGACGCUAAGGCUCGAAAGCGUGGGUAGCAAAACGGAUUAGAUACCCGUGUAGUCCACGCUGUAAACUAUGGAUGCUAGGUGUUUGGUAUGACUACUUUCUAUCUUCGGAUUCUAGGUGGAAGUACUGAGUGCCGCAGCUAACGCGUUAAGCAUCCCGCCUGGGAAGUACGGGCCGCAAAGGCUAAAACUCAAUGAAUUGGCGGGACCCGCACAAGCAGAGGAGCGCGUGUUUAAUUCGAUGGCAUUCGAAGAACCUUACAGGUUUGACAUUGUAUCUGCAUAUCUUUGGAAACAUAAAUAGCCUUCGAGGGUGAUACACAGUACUGCAA
rnacentral:rRNA from 1 species